rfam:Schistosoma rodhaini strain Burundi genome assembly, scaffold: SROB_scaffold0001326
AGCUUUCUGAAUUCUUGUGGAGAUUUCAUCAGACACCAACCCAUUAGAGCUGAUCAUACUUUCAAGAUAAGUGAAGUU